CAAAGAAAUAUUCCAAUGAAUUUUUAUUCGGUUAUAACGAUUUGCCUCAAUCAUUCCAGAUUUAAUAGUUUAAAAUAAGUCCGACGUCAGCUUAAUCGCGUAGCAGAAAUGGUCUGUGCAGUAGCCGUCUGCGCUUCAUGCGAUGGCGCCCAAAUAUCGCUUACGAAUAGAAGAUUACAGUAACAUCUAUUUGGGUGGAGAAACGGAACAGCUUGAAGUAUAUAUAUUGGAUAAUUUGCAGAGAAAAGGCAUCGGCACGCAGGAUUUUAUCUGGAAAAUUAUCUGGCUGCAGCGGGCUACGGUACAGCAUGACUGACAAUAAGUGCAUUUCCUCCUGCGUUGAAUGUGUGCUGGAGACUGAUGACGGCAGGCAAGUCUUCCUGGGCGCGGACAACACGAUAGAACUCUUUGAAGCG